GAUGAACGCUGGCGGCGUGCCUAAUACAUGCAAGUCGAGCGAACAGACGAGGAGCUUGCUCCUCUGACGUUAGCGGCGGACGGGUGAGUAACACGUGGAUAACCUACCUAUAAGACUGGGAUAACUUCGGGAAACCGGAGCUAAUACCGGAUAAUAUAUUGAACCGCAUGGUUCAAUAGUGAAAGACGGUUUUGCUGUCACUUAUAGAUGGAUCCGCGCCGCAUUAGCUAGUUGGUAAGGUAACGGCUUACCAAGGCAACGAUGCGUAGCCGACCUGACAGGGUGAUCGGCCACACUGGAACUGAGACACGGUCCAGACUCCUACGGGAGGCAGCAGUAGGGAAUCUUCCGCAAUGGGCGAAAGCCUGACGGAGCAACGCCGCGUGAGUGAUGAAGGUCUUCGGAUCGUAAAACUCUGUUAUUAGGGAAGAACAAAUGUGUAAGUAACUAGGCACGUCUUGACGGUGCCUAAUCAGAAAGCCACGGCUAACUACGUG
rnacentral:rRNA from 1 species